CAAAAGUGAAUCAAAGGGUACAUGAUGAUGAUUGCCCUGAUGUUUCAAAGUUGUCGAAGAAAGAGAUCACAAAACAAUUUAACAUGGAUACGAUUAAGAAUGAUGCAAAUUGUGACAAAGAACCAGUGUGUAAUCAGUUGAACAGUUCUGGUAGAUCAAUCACAGUAGGCAAAGAUAAAGGAGAAUUGACAGACAGAAACAAAAAUAAUCAUUCAAACAUAUUUUCAAAUGAGAGUGCAUGUCCAGCAGAUGGAAUUUCAAAAGAACACAUGACUAGUUCAGAAACCGUGAACAUCCCAGAUGGAGUAAGCCAUGUCAAAUUACAGAUUGAUCUUGAAGAGAAUGAGAGCGAUAGUGACAUUGACGCAAUCAAACGCAAUCGUGGGAGAAAUUACAUAGAAUCUGAAUCAGACACAAGUGUUGAAGAUGAUGAUUUACUGAGCAGUUCAUUUGAAAGUGAAAGGUCAUGUCAGCCUAUUGAUACACAGCUUGUACAUGAUGAAACAUGUCGCGUUGAAAUUGUCCCAGAUGCAGGAUUGAAUAAAAAUACAGACAAUGCAAUUUUGAAUGCAGGAGAUGAGUCUACUGAUGAUUCUUUUGCACAAAAUUCCUUUGAAUCUCAUAUGAAAGCAGCAAUUGCUCAGGAAAGAAAAGAAGAUGAUAUGCAUCCUUUGUACAAUGAAUCGAGAGACGAAGUAGAGUUUGUAUCAGAUCUUGGAAUGUGUGAUAGGCCAGACAAAUAUUUUAAAUUUUUACCUCUUGAGAUAACUGACAAACAAGCCAUUUGUAGAAAAUUGAAUAUUCCCUAUACAGACAGAAGCUUCCAUGCAAAGUGCAAUAGCAAUGAGUACAUUGGAAUUCCUUCACACAUUAAAACAAUAGAUGAGGAUGGCAACUGUUUCUUUCGUGCAAUUUCAUAUGCUAUUUCUGGAACUGAAUGUUAUCAUGUAAUUCUAAGGAAUCUUACUGUGAACCAUUUAUUACAGACCAAUGAUAAGUUUAAGAGUACAUUGAGAAGUGAGUUCAGAACUGUCAGAGAAUAUGUUUUGAAAAAUAGAAUAAUGGAAAAUGGAACUUGGGCUACAGACACUGAAAUGAGUGCAUUGGCAAAUUUGAUUGAUACCGAUAUCUAUUCUUACAAUGAUCAAGUACCAUGUUGGCAGUUGUACUCUGCAAGGAAACCGGGAAGAAUAAAUGUUGUUACAUCUCAUAAAGGCAUUUAUAUACAGUACACAAGAAAUGUUCAUUUUAAUGUAGUUGAAUCCGUUACUUCUGUCAGUAGUGAUUUAUCAAAGAACAUAGCAACAAUGAAAGAUAUAAACACAACAGUAAACAUGCAAAUAAAACCAGUUGCACAAGGAACAUUUCAUCAAGGUGACAUGAGAUUUGGUGAUUCAGCAGGAAAGCAAUGUGUUGCCAAUUCAUUGUCUGCUUUGUUGUAUAGCAAAAUGAAAAAUGCUAAUGAUUGGGACAAUAAAGAUUUAGAUAAAAUUCUGGCCAAUGGUGAUGAACUCUAUCGUUACAUAAGGUAUUAUGUAGCACGUGAACAAGAAUAUCUAUUAAUUUCUGAUCUACUUGAACACUUAGAGGCAUAUGAUGAGUUGUUUGAGAUAAAGCGACGUGAAUCAAUACCUGGAUUGUUAGAAGGAGAUGAAACAAAAUUGGAAGAAUCUAUUUCAAUGCCAUUGAAACAGGCACUUGAACAAGAAUUGAGUAGUGACUCUGAUGCAUGUUUUGUGACAUUUUCUGGAAAUACUUUUAUUGUCAUAUCUAGUUAUGAUUGUUUCUUUAUAUUUGAUUCACAUUCAAGAAACACAAGAGGCUUACUCGUUGAUGAUGGCUAUAGUGUAGUGCUUCAAACUCCAAGUUGGCAAGGUGUUUAUAAUCAUUGCAUGAGGCUGGCAAAAACAUUGAAAUGUUCUUCACAAACUGAAUAUGAGUUCUGGGCUCCUGGCUGAGGGACUGUCUCCUAUUGUAAUCCAGAGAGUCAAAGAUGGUCAACCUUUGCUGAGGGAAGUGAAUCUCGCUUCCCAGGUCUCCCUUCUCAGGCCCCACGAGGUUUGCAUAAGUUAUGGACUGGUGCUGCAUUAAGAUUCUUUCCAGAAUUUAUCAGUGCAUCCAAGUUCGUAAAAGUGUUGGCAUAGAAUUUAUCUUUCAUUGGAAAGUAAAGGGACAACAUAUCUCCAG
rnacentral:misc_RNA from 1 species